rnacentral:rRNA from 1 species
GAUGAACGCUAGCGGCAGGCUUAAUACAUGCAAGUCGAGGGGCAUCAAGGUACACGAAAGUGUAUUGUUGGCGACCGGCGGACGGGUGAGUAAUAGGUAGGUAACCUACCUCAUACUGAGGCAUAGCUGGGAGAAAUUCCAGGUAAUUCCUCAUGAGGUUAUAUGACACAUGUGAUAUAAUCAAAGGUAUCGCAAGGUACUGGUAUGAGAGGGGCCUACUGACCAUUAGCUAGUUGGUGAGGUAAGGGCUCACCAAGGCGAAGAUGGUUAGGGGUUUUGAGAGAGAGACCCCCCACAUUGGAACUGAGAGACGGUCCAGACUCCUACGGGAGGCAGCAGUAGGGAAUAUUGGGCAAUGGGCGAAAGCCUGACCCAGCCAUGCCGCGUGAAGGAAGACGGCCUUAUGGGUUGUAAACUUCUUUACUACGCGAAUAGAGGUUAGUACGAGAUACUAAUAGGAAGGUAGUGUAGUAAAAGCACCGGCUAACUCCGUGCCAGCAGCCGCGGUAAA